GUCGUCAGCUCGUGUCGUGAGAUGUUGGUUAAGUCCCGCAACGAGCGCAACCCCUAUUGUUAGUUGCCAUCAUUCAGUUGGGCACUCUAGCGAGACUGCCGGUAAUAAACCGGAGGAAGGUGGGGGAUGACGUCAAAUCAUCAUGCCCCUUAUGACCUGGGCUACACACGUGCUACAAUGGUUGGUACAACGAGUUGCGAGUCGGUGACGGCGAGCUAAUCUCUUAAAGCCAAUCUCAGUUCGGAUUGUAGGCUGCAACUCGCCUACAUGAAGUCGGAAUCGCUAGUAAUCGCGGAUCAGCACGCCGCGGUCGAAUACGUUCCCGGGCCUU
rnacentral:rRNA from 1 species